UGAGUACGAGAUGCUACGGCAUCGAAGCAGUCUAUGUCAUACUUCCAAGAAAAGCUUGCAAUGUCAUAAACAAAUAAUGCCUGUACCAUAACCGACACAGGUGGGUAGGUAGAGUAUACUAAGGGGCGCGAGACAACUCUCUCUAAGGAACUCGGCAAAAUGACUCCGUAACUUCGGGAGAAGGAGUGCCUUAUUUUUAUAAGGUUGCAAUAACAAGAUCCAAGCAACUGUUUACCAAAAACACAGGUCUCCGCUAAGUCGUAAGACGAUGUAUGGGGGCUGACGCCUGCCCAGUGCCAGAAGGUUAAAGAAGUUGGUUAGCAUUAGCGAAGCUGAUAACUGAAGCCCUGGUGAACGGCGGCCGUAACAAUAACGGUCCUAAGGUAGCGAAAUUCCUUGUCGGGUAAGUUCCGACCCGCACGAAAGGCGUAAUGAUUUGGAUACUGUCUCGGAGAGGGGCUCGGUGAAAUAGACUUGUCUGUGAAGAUGCGGACUACCUGCACCUGGACAGAAAGACCCUAUGAAGCUUUACUGUAACUUGAGAUUGAAAUUGGACUUUAUCUGCGCAGUAUAGGUGGGAGACGUUGAAAAUAUUCUUGCGGGAAUAUUGGAGUCAUCAGUGAGAUACCACUCUUAUAAUGUUAGAUUUCUAACUUUGUAUCAUUAUCUGGUCAAAGAACAGUUUCAGGCGGGCAGUUUGACUGGGGCGGUCGCCUCCCAAACGGUAACGGAGGCGCACAAAGGUUUCCUCUGAACGUGUAGAAAUCGUAUCUAGAGUGUAAAGGCAUAAGGAAGCUUGACUGUGAGACCUACAAGUCGAGCAGGGACGAAAGUCGGUCUUAGUGAUCUGACGGUGCUGAGUGGAAAGGCCGUCACUCAACGGGUAAAAGUUACUCUAAGGAUAACAGGCUGAUCUCCCCCAAGAGUUCACAUCGACGGGGAGGUUUGGCACCUCGAUGUCGGCUCAUCGCAUCCUGGGGCGGUAGUACGUCCCAAGGGUUGGGCUGUUCGCCCAUGAAAGCGGUACGCGAGCUGGGUUCAGAACGUCGUGAGACAGUUCGGUCCAUAUCCGGUGUAGGCGUUAGAAUAUUGAGAGGAGCCUUCUUUAGUACGAGAGGACCGAGAAGGACAUACCUCUGGUGUACCAGUUAUCGUGCCAACGGUAAACGCUGGGUAGCCAUGUAUGGAGGAUAACCGCUGAAAGCAUCUAAGUGGGAAGCCCACCUCAAGAUAAGUAUUCUC
rnacentral:rRNA from 1 species